GCCGCGUCUCUGGUUUUAUGGGCACGACAGAGUCUGGGAAAGGCACACGUCAGCGUUGCUCCUGAAGGAACAUGCUGGACUGUGGCUGCCACCAUGGCUGUUUCUGUUGCUGCUGCUGCCAUUCCAGUCCAGGCCACCCCUGUGAUCUUCAGAGCCCUGACCAGUCCCAGGGUGAGACUUUGACUUCUGCAUUUUUCAAAGUUCUCCAAAUGAUUCUGAUCUACAACAAGAACUGCUGUUGCCAGAAAAAUAGGACUACGUGAAAAGAAUCCUCACCUAAAUGAAGGAGGAAAGUGUUGAGAUUUCCAGGAAGAUGGAGCACAAAACGAGUACAGAAAGCUUCUGUCUUGUUCACAUACACAUGCUUGGUAAAAUACAACCAAGUGGAAAAAGAAACAGAGAAAUCUCCACAAGCCAAAGGAAACUAAAAGCCAAAUCAAGGCCUGUCACUCAAUUUGAGAGUAGAUAGCCAUCAUACCAUGUGGAUCAAGUAUCGGGAGGCGGUGGCCCUCAAGGUGGCUGUAGUAUGUUGGAGGACAUUUGACCUAGAGGCAGAGCUCUCAUUUCUGGCAUCAGAAUCACUGGAUUGUGAUGGAAG
ensembl:lncRNA